rnacentral:rRNA from 1 species
UUCCCGGGCCUUGUACACACCGCCCGUCACACCACGAAAGUUGGCAAUACCCGAAGCCGGUGGCCUAACCGCAAGGGAGGGAGCCGUCUAAGGUAGGGUUGAUGAUUGGGGUG